GCGUUGAAGCGGGAGGUUGCCGCACAAUGUGCGGGUUUUUCCGUGGAGUAUGUCCGAUUUUAAACCGGGCGACA
rnacentral:ncRNA from 1 species